AAAGCAUCUCUUUGCUUUUUCCCUACACGUAUAAAUGUUUAUUAUGUGAUAAUGUGAUAAAGAAAACUAAUCAGCCGAACUGGACCGGAACUGGACCCGAUGAUAGACGAACUCAGGACGGUAAUGACACGCCAUGUUUCAUUCCAGUGAGGAUGAUGUGGCCCCAACCAUGAUACUGCCUCCACCAAAAGUUGCUCAACGUUGACAGGAUUGGUGUCCUGCCAUCAGCUGGAUGUGGCACAGACCUGGCAACCCGCGGCGGCCCAUUUUCACGCAGGCAGAUGGCGGCGGUGGGAGUCGCCGUCUGUUUCCCACUGCAGAUCUGACUAGAUGUCAUAAAUGAGCAGAGAUCUGUGAAUGACAGGAACACCGGCAUGUUGGCAUCUUCCACAGAUUCCCUCAUCAUCAGGUUUUCUCCUCCGCUUCCUCUGAUGGGACAUCAGGUUUCUUGAUGAGCCUCAUUGUAUCGACAUCUUCAGGCCCUUGACUUGCACAAACACACUCCCAUCACUUGGCUGCGCUCUCCUGGACCCACACGCCGCUAACGGAGACGGCAACACAAUUACCGGGCGUCUUCUGAGUAUCGCAGCUCAAUCAGAGGCGACACAAAAGGCUUUUCAGGGCUGACGAGCGCCGCUCUCCAGGCCCUUCUUCCUCCUUCUGCUGAUUGCCGCCGUCGCUUUCUGCGUGGGCGACCGUUCUCCGCCCGCUAACGACUCCGGCUCUCAUGUUUACGUUUAAAAAAGGUUAUGUCCUCCCUACGUGUCGGAGAAAAUCGCCAAGUUGUGGCUUAAAUUGCUCUGAUGUCAAGGCGGAGUGUUGAUUGAAAUGGUUAUGUGAGAAACGUAUUUCAUUCAGAAGUGAAAACCAAACAGUAGAAAUACAGUUUUUAUAGAUUUUGACAGAAUAAUGAUAAAUCCAUUAAUCAAAUUAAAUUAA